UAGUAUGAUUGACAUCCAUGGUUUUUAUUUCUUUUAACUGAUGGUGGCCAUCUCUCAUAUCUUCAGCCAGUAAGGGAGCAUCAAUCCAGACAGUUCCACCAGCAACCAAAAAGUAGAGUUCAUUAAACAAUGUGAACUUGUACCAUUCUGGUAGCCUUUCAUCCUUGAGGAUAGGAUUUUGCCACUUCUCAAUCUCUUCCUCCCACCACUUGUAAUGUGUCAGUGCAUCAUGCACCAAAUUCUGAGCCGCUCUUUCAGAAGUGCCAUAAAAUUUGGUGUAUCUCCUAUGGUAUGAGCUUCCCUUCGAGAACUUUAUCUUUGGAGAUGACCAUGCAAGAGCGAAUGCAACUGUACACUUUCCAUGAGGUUCCACCCAUGUGCAAGCAGAAACUGCAGCACAAAGUGUUUCUCCAGGUGAUGAAGGCAUGCUUGGUCCACAAUUAAAG
rnacentral:misc_RNA from 1 species